rnacentral:snRNA from 1 species
AACUUUGCACAGUGGUAGUAUCAUAGCCAAUGAGGUUUAUCCGAGGCACAAUUAUCGCUAACUGAAAACUUUUCCCAAUACCACGCCAUGAUGACUUGAAAUAUAGUUGGCAUUGGCAAUUUUUGACAGUCUCUAUGGAGA